GGACUACCCGGGUAUCUAAUCCUGUUUGAUCCCCACGCUUUCGUGCCUCAGCGUCAAUAAUCGUGUAGCAAGCUGCCUUCGCAAUCGGUGUUCUAUGUCAUAUCUAAGCAUUUCACCGCUACAUGACAUAUUCCGCUCACCUCCACGAUAUUCAAGACAAAUAGUAUCAACGGCAGUUUCCGGGUUAAGCCCGGAGAUUUCACCACUGACUUACUUGUCCGCCUACGCACCCUUUAAACCCAGUGAAUCCGGAUAACGCUUGCACCCUCCGUAUUACCGCGGCGGCUGGCAC
rnacentral:rRNA from 2 species